UACGUAGGGUGCAAGCGUUGUCCGGAAUUAUUGGGCGUAAAGAGCUCGUAGGCGGUUUGUUGCGUCGGCUGUGAAAUCCCGAGGCUCAACCUCGGGUCUGCAGUCGAUACGAGCAAACUAGAGUGUUGCAGGGGAGACUGGAAUUCCUGGUGUAGCGGUGAAAUGCGCAGAUAUCAGGAGGAACACCGGUGGCGAAGGCAGGUCUCUGGGCAGCAACUGACGCUGAGGAGCGAAAGCGUGGGGAGCGAACAGG
rnacentral:rRNA from 1 species